rnacentral:rRNA from 2 species
UAUAAAAAAUUAUUUAAAUUAUUUUAGUUGUAAAAAAACAACUUUAAAAAAGAAAGACGAUAAGACCCUAUCGAACUUCACUUUAGUUUAACUGGGGCAGUUAAUUAAUUAAUAUUUUAAUAUAAUUACAAAUAAAAUUUGACCUAAUAGAAUUAAAUUAUAAUUAAGUUACCGUAGGGAUAACAGCGUAAUAAAAUUUUUAAGAUCUUAUUUAAAAUAAAGAUUGCGACCUCGAUGUUGAUUUAAUAUCCUAAUUUACGCAAUAGUUAAUUAAGGAAGUCUGUUCGACUUUUAAAAAAUUACAUGAUUUGAGUUCAGACCGGUGUAAACCAGGUCGGUU